rnacentral:rRNA from 1 species
CUUGGUCAUUUAGAGGAAGUAAAAGUCGUAACAAGGUCUCCGUUGGUGAACCAGCGGAGGGAUCAUUAAAGAGUUGCAAAGCUCCUUAAAACCAUCUGUGAACUCGUCCGUCAGUGUUGCUUCGGCGGGUGGCCCCAGGGGGGGCCGUAGCCCGAACCCCUCCCCGGAGGGGGGACGGCGCCCGCCGGAAGUACGAAACUCUUCUGUAUUAUAGUGGUAUCUCUGAUUUAAACAAAUAAGUUAAAACUUUCAACAACGGAUCUCUUGGCUCUGGCAUCGAUGAAGAACGCAGCGAAAUGCGAUAAGUAAUGUGAAUUGCAGAAUCCAGUGAAUCAUCGAAUCUUUGAACGCACAUUGCGCCCGCUAGUACUCUAGCGGGCAUGCCUGUUCGAGCGUCAUUUCAACCCUCAAGCCCUGCUUGGUGUUGGGGCCCUACGGCUGCCGUAGGCCCUGAAAAGAAGUGGCGGGCUCGCUACAACUCCGAGCGUAGUAGAAUACUAUCUCGCUAGGGAGGCGUGGCGCGCUCCGGCCGUUAAAGACCCCAUCUUUAACCCAAGGUUGACCUCGGAUCAGGUAGGAAUACCCGCUGAACUUAGGCAUAUCAAUAAGCGGAGGA